AGGUGAAAGUGAAAAUUUGGUUCAAGGUCUCUCAAGAAGAAGAUGAUCAAGGUGAAAGUGAAAAGUGAGAGUGCUUUACAGAGGUGGCUUGAGGUCCUUUUUUAUAGUGUAAAACCAUGAUGAAGAGGAAAUCUAUUGUCCAAUGGUUUUAGUCUGAUAUUUGGUUUACUGCUUUUUCCAAAAUAUCUUUAGGUAUUU